AUUUAAUGGAAAUGACACCUAACUAAAGUAAUUUUUGUUUAUUUCUUUUUUCCAGACACAAGUGACUUUUAUUCAUAGCAGUGCACCUCUGCCUUAGCUGCCUUAGCUUGUGGCUGUGCUUGGCCGUCUCGAUGCUUCUCUUCAGAAAGCUGUGGAUCAAUGACGCACCGGUUAUCCAUCUGAAUAGGUGCAACAUGCAAAGGUUUCCAGCUGCAAACCUCAUGUCUGGACUCUAAAGACUGACAGCCAAUGGGAAGAGUUGGAUCUGUUUGGGUAAGGCAAAAACACCAGUCCCGCCAUCAAAAUAAUAACCCUGAAUAUCUAACAAAUUUAUAUUUCUCUAAAUUCUUAAACAAUGAUUAGAAAUGUAGUUUGUGUAACGAUGAAUCAGAAUCUUUCCUGCUUUUAUUUCACCACUGUAUACACUCCAUUACUUUUGACACAUGCGAUGUGUAAAAAUAAAUUCAGAAUAACAAAGGGAACAUAAUAUAUAUAAAGAAUGUAUCAAAUGCUGUAAAAGGCUCUUUUCAUGGAGGCAUGAUGUCUUUUUUCUUUCCCUUUUGGUUGUUUGUUUGCUUUUAUCUAUUUGUCUUGUCAUCUUCAUAAUCCCAGCUAGAUUAUUUAUUUUUGGUGGAAUUACAAUUUAUUUAAGUGAUCUCUCUUGGAGCUCUUGAAUAACAUUAUUUAAAAAAGAAAAUUUUGAGCGUAGGUAGUGCAUUUAGCAAACAUUGCUAUAAGAUCGAACCAGCUGGUCAACAGUGUUGCUCAAGGUUUCUAUUAUGUUGAUCAGUGUCAACGCAACUGUAAAUCAGUCGCUUGUCUAGUGCAGAUGAGAAUCAAGCAAGAGUCACACACCAGUGGAGCACAGGUGUUGUCUGAGGAGCGGCAGGCUUUCCUCAGCUUUUAUGAUAAUUAGGAACAAUACAUUCAGUCUGUCACAGUCAAAGAAUACAUAUGAUCUCCCUCAAAACACUAUCCGAAUCAUCUCCACCUCCAUCUUAUGAUACACAUACACAUCCUAUACACUUCUACCAUUGUUAUGUGUCAUACGUCAACCUAAGAUCAAAGCACUUACACACAGAAGAGGCUUCACCUUCAGGAUGAACUCCUUACCAGAGUUCCUUUAUGUUACUUUUCACUGCACAUUACACCACAUACACUACGUGAAUACAUCCAUUCACACUCUGCAGCCACAUACUGUAGGUAUCACAAGACAGAACUCGUGUUGGAAGCACAACAACAGUAAGAUUUUACUUUAACUUGAAUGCAGCAGUAGCUCAGUCGGUAGGGACUUGGCUCGGGGAGGGUGGCCAGUUCAAGUCCAGCUACAGACCACAAUAUGGAAAGUGGACUGGUAGCUGAAGACUGGUACUUCCAAGGUGCUCUUGAGCAAGGCAUCAAAACCCACAUGUUAACCCACAUCCCCAGGCACCUGACAUGACACACACACUGCUCUUAGUUGGGAGUGUGUGUGUAUAAUUACAGUGUGCAGCUAGUGACAGAUUAAAUGCAGGGGACUAAUUUUGUGUGUGUUUGCACGUAAAGGUAACUGACAAAAGAAAGAUUCCUCUUAAAUAAUAAUGUGUAUGCAUAUGUUAACACAAUACAUCAUUUUAAGAAGGGACAUUUGAGAAUUUUGCCCAGCCGUGUUCCUGCAUUGACUCAGUUUGAGGUCAAUUUUGGAGAUUUUUUUUCUGUCCUUCUGAAACAGCAUUGAAGGCAACGCCAGUGAUAAACAUGACUGAUACAACCCUGAUGCAAAAUCGAAAUCCUUCCUCACAUCCUGUUUCUUCUUCCUCUACUUUCCUUUCUCUGUUAUCCUCGUCUUUCUCCUCCGCCUCAGCAUCAUUGAGAGAGCUCCAUUCAACUGUGGAGCUUCGAUAGCAGUUGCGUUUCCUUGACUGAAUUGAAAGUGACCUCUAAACACACACACACACACACACACACACACACACACACACACACACACACACACACACACACACACACACACACACACACACUCAC